rnacentral:rRNA from 1 species
UACGUAGGGUGCGAGCGUUAAUCGGAAUUACUGGGCGUAAAGCGUGCGUAGGCGGUUCUCCAAGUCCGUUGUGAAAGCCCCGGGCUCAACCUGGGAAUGGCAGUGGAAACUAGGGGACUGGAAUCUGGCAGAGGGGGGUGGAAUGCCGCGUGUAGCAGUGAAAUGCGUAGAGAUGCGGCGGAACACCGAUGGCGAAGGCAGCCCCCUGGGCUGAGAUUGACGCUCAGGCACGAAAGCGUGGGGAGCAGACAGG